rfam:Ornithorhynchus anatinus chromosome 4, whole genome shotgun sequence.
AGCAGCGUGGCUCAGUGGAAAGAGCUUGGGCUUGGGACCUAGAGGUCAUGGGUUCGAAUCCCAGCUCUGCCA